rnacentral:lncRNA from 1 species
CAGAACCAAAACAAAAAUGAACAUAAGUAUAGUUGGUCAGUCGUCUCUUAGCACAACACUAAUUGUAUUGCAAUCACUACCGCUCUUUGCUUCUAGGCACUGUAGCAACUUCAGAACUCUACCACAAUACUAGAUCAGGGAGGAAAAUUGUCAAUCGACCAUCAAGCCGCCGCAUAGUACUUUCGCACAGUAAGAAUAGCUAA